rnacentral:rRNA from 1 species
GACGAACGCUGGCGGCGUGCUUAACACAUGCCAGUUGAACGAGAAUUUUUCGAGUGAUUUCUUCGGAAUGAUCAUGAAAAAGGAAAGUAGCGAACGGGUGAGUAACACGUGAGAAACCUGCCUUUCACAAAGGGAUAGCCUCGGGAAACCGGGAUUAAUACCUUAUGAAACCAAACACUCGCAUGAGAGAUUGGUUAAAGAUUUAUCGGUGUUAGAUGGUCUCGCGUCUGAUUAGCUAGUUGGUGGGAUAAAAGCCUACCAAGGCAACGAUCAGUAGCCGGAUUGAGAGGUUGAACGGCCACACUGGAACUGAGACACGGUCCAGACUCCUACGGGAGGCAGCAGUGGGGAAUUUUGCACAAUGGAGGAAACUCUGAUGCAGCGACGCCGCGUGAGUGAUGAAGGUCUUCGGAUUGUAAAACUCUGUCCUUAGUGAAGAUAAUGACAGUAACUAAGAAGCAAGCCCUGGCUAAAUACGUG